UCCUGAAGUACGGAGCCUUCGUCCCUCCUGAGCUCUUUGGCUCUGAGUUCUUCAUGGGACGACUGAUGAGGAGGAUCCCGGAGCCCCGGAUCUGCUUUCUGGAAGCCAUCUGGAGCAACAUUUUCUCCCUGAACCUGCUGGACGCCUGGUAUGACCUCACCAGUUCUGGGGAGUCCUGGAAACAGCACAUCAAGGACAAGACCAGGAGCUUAGAGAAGGAGCCCCUGAUCACCUCGGGGACCUCCUCGCAGCUGGAGGCUUCGUGGCUGCAGCCGGGCACGGCGCUGGCCCAGGCAUUUAAAGGCUUCCUGACUGGCAGGCCCCUCCACCAGCGCAGCCCCAACUUCCUCCAGGGCCUCCAGCUGCACCAGGACUACUGUAGCAACAAGGACUUCUCCACCUGGGCAGACUGCCAGCUUGACUCCAUGCCCAGCCAGCUGACCCCCCAGGAGCCCCGGCUCUGCCUGGUGGACGCUGGCUACUUCAUCAACACCAGCUGUCCCUCCAUGUUCCGGCCGGGCCGCAGGCUGGACCUCAUCCUCUCCUUCGACUACUCCCUAUCUGCGCCCUUCGAGGUACCCUGGUCACCCCAGGGGAACCCCUCUGCCCAGCCAGGCCAAGCUCCAGAGGCGAGCAGCAGGGUCACUGAGCCCCUGCCCCACAUCGCCCGGGUCCCGAAGGGAAGGAGAGGUGUCAGGCCUUGAUCUGCUGGCUCCUGCCAGGGUACUUAGGUGGGAAGGCUGUCGUGGUGCGGGGGCCUUGGGCUCCCAGGACAGGUGAACAGGGAGGGACCUCCCCACACCUACUCCAGAGAACAGCUGGACAGAGCUGAGAGGAGACCCUAGCAUCUCCAUGUCCAUCCCCCAGACCUCCCCUGAGUCGCUGUGCCAAUGUGAGUCCCCUCUUGGCUCUGGGAGUUGAACAAUCCAGCAAUAGCAAUCCAGAGUUGGGGUUUGGGGGGCUGGGGGGUGGGUCUGUACCCCACCUAGAGAUUUUAACCAAACAACGUUGCAGACCACCAGAGUCCUUGGACUCCCCGUGGGUCUCCCUCCGAGUCACUCUGCAGCUUGGCCCGACCACAGAGAGGACAGAGCCAGGCUGUUGUCUUGACACUGAAGCAGCUGGUGUGGGUUGGAACUGGCCCAGCAUUGACUUGGGCCGGGCUAGUUCUCGUGUCCAGCGCAGCCCCGCAGAGCUCCAGGCUGGCCAAGUGGAUCUCACCGGGGCCACCUGCCCCUACACCCUGUCCAACAUGACCUACAAGGAGGAAGACUUCGAGCGCCUGCUGUGGCUCAGCAACUACAACGUGCAGACCAGCCAGGGUGCCAUCCUGCAGGCCCUGAGGACCGCGCUGAAGCACCGGACCCUAGAGGCGAGGCCUCCAAGGGCACAGACCUGAGGCUGCUCAGAGGCCCCAGGACCCUGAAGGCCACAAUCUGACCCUCCAGGGCCUGCGGGAGUAACCUGAUCUGCAGCUGGGCUCAGCCACAGGCCUUCCUGGCUGGAGUUCUGGGCUCUCCCAGGCCUGGGUGGCCUCUGUAGCUGGUCUCGCUGCCCAGAGGGAACUGCACACGCAGAGUUCUCUCUUACUCAUGGAUGGCUUGAGAUGAGUUGAAAAUAACUUUUCCAGGCCAGUGUGUAGAACAGCUGAUCCAACCAGACAGACUUUCACACCACAAUUACUUCCAUGCCUGAGCAGAAUAGAUUUGAAGUGCAAGCCGAAGGCAGCAGAUCAGGAGUAGGGACAGGAAGGACAGGGGAUGCCUGACCUGACAGGUAGCUUCAGGCCUCGGGAAUCACAAGACAUCCUGAACACAUUGCCUCCUCUUCUUCCUGCUCCUCCACCUCCUUCUCUCCUUGUCCUUCUCCUCUUUCUCCUCCUGCUUUCCGUAUCCAAGUCUUGUACUUGUUUAAAUUUAUUCCUAAAUAUUUUAUUCUUUUUGAUAAGUGGAGUUACUUUCUUAAUUUCAUUUAGAUUAUUCAUUGCUAUUUUGUAGAAAUACAAUGGAUUUUUAAAUGUUGAUCUUGUAUUCCACAAUCUUGCUGAAGUUGUUUACCAGCUCUAAUACUUUUGUGGAUUUCUUAGAAUUUUCUGUAGACAGAUCAUGCCAUCUCCAAAUAGAGAUGGUUUUACUUCUUCCUGUCUGAUCCGAAUGCCUUUUAUUUAUUUUUCCCAAUUGCCCUGACCAGUACAAUGAUGAACACACGUUUCAAGAGCAGACAUCUUGUCUUGUUCCUGACACUAAGAGGAAAGCAUAAGUCUCUCACCAUUUAGUGUGAUUUUAACUGUGGGUUUUUCUUAGACAUCCUUAUCAGGUUGAGAAAGUUCUCUUUUAUUUCUAGUUUAUUGAGUGUUUUAUGAUGAAAAGGUGUUAGGUUUUGUCAAGUGAUUUUUCUGUGUCUAUGGGCAUGAUCAUGUGGUUUUGUUAUGUAUUUUAUUAAUGUACUCUAUUGCAUUAAUUGGUUUUUGGAUAUUAAACCAACUUUGCAUUCCUGGGGCAGUUUCCAUUUGAUUAUGGUAUAUAAACCUUUUUGUUUAUUGCUGGCACAUUUCUUUUUCUUUCUCUUUCUUUUUUUUUUUUUUUUUUAGAGACAGAAUCUCAUCACACUCUGUUACCCAGGCCGAGUUCAAUGGUGCAGUCAUGGCUCACUGCAUCCUCAACUUCCUGGGCUCAAGUGAUCCUUCCACUUCAGCCUCCCAAGUAGCUGGGACUACAGGCAUGUAACACCAUACUUGGCUAAAUUUAAAAAGUUGUUUUUUGUAGAGAUGAGGUCUCACCAUGUUGCCCAGGCUGGUCUUGAACUCCUGAACUCAAGCAAUCCUCCUGCCUCAGCCUCCCAAAGUGCUGGGAUUACUGGUGUGAGCCACCACAGCCAGCUGCUGGCACAUUUCUUACCUCCCUCAUGCAAGGGUGUGUGCACGCAUACACAUGCACACACACCUCGCCCCAGGUGGGGGUUGCAGUGAGAGCUUCUGGACAGACCUUGGCUCAGGAACUGCCCUCAUCUGAUGUCCUCUCUCAGCUUCCUUCCCUGUGCCUCUUCUGCAUUUGGCUUUAUUUUGAUUCUUCACUUUUUCCAUUUAUCAUGGACUCUUAUUUUUUUAACAGUGAUACGGGAAUUGA
rnacentral:sRNA from 1 species